rnacentral:rRNA from 1 species
CCUACGGGUGGCAGCAGUAGGGAAUUUUGCGCAAUGGGCGAAAGACUGACGCAGCAACGCCGCGUGAUCGAGACGCCCUUCGGGGGGUAAAGAUCUGUCAGUGGGGACGAAAAUUGCAGGUACCCACAGAGGAAGCAACGGCCAACUCCGUGCAAGCAGCCGCGGUAAUACGGGGGGUGCGAGCGUUGUCCGGAAUCAUUGGGCGUAAGGAGUUCGUAGGUGGCACGUAAAGUCUGGUGUUAAAGGCCGAGGCUCAACUUCUGUACGGCACUGGAUACUUGCGAUCUAGAAUGCGGGAGAGGUAAAGGGAAUUCCUGGUGUAGCUGUGAAAUGCUUAGAUAUC